CCCGAUGGAGGGGGAUAACUACUGGAAACGGUAGCUAAUACCGCAUAACGUCGCAAGACCAAAGAGGGGGACCUUCGGGCCUCUUGCCAUCGGAUGUGCCCAGAUGGGAUUAGCUAGUAGGUGGGGUAACGGCUCACCUAGGCGACGAUCCCUAGCUGGUCUGAGAGGAUGACCAGCCACACUGGAACUGAGACACGGUCCAGACUCCUACGGGAGGCAGCAGUGGGGAAUAUUGCACAAUGGGCGCAAGCCUGAUGCAACCAUGCCGCGUGUAUGAAGAAGGCCUUCGGGUUGUAAAGUACUUUCAGCGAGGAGGAAGGUGUUGAGGUUAAUAACCUCAGCAAUUGACGUUACUCGCAGAAGAAGCACCGGCUAACUCCGUGCCAGCAGCCGCGGUAAUACGGAGGGUGCAAGCGUUAAUCGGAAUUACUGGGCGUAAAGCGCACGCAGGCGGUCUGUCAAGUCUGAUGUGAAAUCCCCGGGCUCAACCUGGGAAC
rnacentral:rRNA from 1 species